UGUGUGUGUGUAAGCGUUUGUGGUCAGGAUUUUUCCCCUCUGCAGAGGAAUAUUAAAAAUGCAUUUCUCUGCCUCUCUGACUCUCUGACUCUCACACCAGUGCUGGGAGGAGACAGCACAGAGAGCUGCAUGAUGCUGAAGGCUGAAAAUGCACUCCCUCUUACAAACCCAAACAGGAACAGUGCAGCAGACUUAGAGAGAUGUACAGAGAAAAAAAAGAUGGCAGCAGGGUGAGGAGUAUGAAAUGCAGCAGCAUAUGGAGUAUCUUAGAUGCCUUGUUGGUAGGUUUUGUGUGUGUGUGUGUGAGAGAGAGAGAAAGAGAAAGAGAAAAAGAGAGAGAAAGGGAGAGAGAGAGAAAUGAGAGCUAUUUAAUGAAGCUCUGUGGUCAUCUGUUCGGAUAAGCUGUUUAAGACUAAGCAAUGGGCCCUUUUCACAUUUCCGGGUUUGGAAUGCGGAAGUAAAAAAUAGCAGGGUAAACAACGCGUGUAGAACGUAUAGACGAAAUGGAGCAGCAUAGGAAAUGCUACUGCAGCGAGCCUUUCUGCUCAAAUAGCAAACGCAAACAACCAAACCUGAGUUUCCACGACUUUCCAAAUGUCACACGUUUACGCGGUAAAUAGAUAAGAGCAAUUAGGAGAGAGGAAAAUGCCACAUUUACGGUUCUGCGCGGCAGUACAUAUGCGUGUAGCCAGCACUUCAGGCCGGAUGAGCUAUAUGUCAAAGCGGGAGGGAACAGAGCCAGGAAUCAGUUUCACCACGAUUCGCCUGGAAUAAUUUUGGGAGUCGAUAUGAAAACCGCCUGACACCCUACGAGAGGGCAAGUACUCGUCUCGGUUUGAACACUGAAGCUGCCAUGGGACAGAGAGACGAGGAGGACCUGAAGCUAUGCUAACCGAGCCAAGCACGAUUACUGCCGUCCACCGUCUCCUGGCAAAGUGGACGCUGCAGCUGCACGAAUAAGGGAGCUGGAGCAAAAAGUGAUUGAGCUGGAGAAUUAAAUAAAACAGCUUGCAGACCAACCUAGGCUUAACCAUUUCUGCUCAACUAAAGAAGAGUUCCACUUUUUCCACACAAUUUCCCUUGACUCAGUACAAAAUUCUGUCUAAAUAUUUUAGCUUUAACUUACCAUGUGAGCUUCAUUUGUUUUUUGUAUUUUUAGAUUUUUUAAAUUUGAGUGUUUUAUAAAUAUAAUAAAUGAAAUACAUUUUAA